UACAGGGGGGGCAAGCGUUGUUCGGAAUUACUGGGCGUAAAGGGCUCGUAGGCGGCCAACUAAGUCCGACGUGAAAUCCCAAAGCUUAACUUUGGAACUGCGUCGGAUACUGGAUGGCUUGAAUUCGGGAGAGGGAUGCAGAAUUCCAGGUGUAGCGGUGAAAUGCGUAGAUAUCGGAAGGAACAUCAGUGGCGAAAGCGGCUUCCUGGACCAGCACCGACGUUCAGGCACGAAAGCGUGGGGAGCAAACAGG
rnacentral:rRNA from 1 species